UAAAAUUUUAAAGCUUUGAUAACAUUUUAAUUAAUGAUUUAAGAUGUUUGGCUAAUUUUCAUCUCAAUUUAGAUUCAAGCACUUUGCAAGCCUGUUUUAAUCUCUAUGCUUAAAAACCUACAUAUUAAUAAAAUCAGCCUUACUACAUACAAGCUGUCAACAAACUGUUCUAAACACAGUGGAGGUAUGAAGUCAAGUACCUUUCUAGCUAAUGUAGUCAGCCUAUACAGUUGUUCAAUGGGGCAACACAAUCAUAUCUCCAAUUGUUACAGAGAUUGAAAUGAUUAUCAUCUGAACUACUGCACUUGGUAGCAAAGUUUUCUUUCUCAAGAAGGUUUUUGGUAAAAUACAGAUCUAUCAACAGGAGAUACCAUUACAUUUUUUGCAUUUACCAAAUCAUUUGCAGAGGGAUACACUCAGAAUAUGAUAGUUUCCAUGAAAAAUAGUGAACCAUAAAAACCGAACUAAAUGGAAUAUAGAACAGAAGUAUUGGAAUGCGAGGCAAAUGUUAAGAGGAAGAGAUAUAGGAAAAUAUAUCAACUCAUUAUUCAAGCUUUAUUUACAUCACAAAAAGUUUCCAUUCACAAAUUUUUCAAAUAAAACUGAAAGGUUUCCAUGAUAUUUUAAAAAUAUACUCUGUAUUUUAUCUUCACAAGAACUUGGAACAAUAGUCUAUCCACAAUUCCUGAUCCAAACAAGUGCCCAAUCUUCAUCUAUCUUGCCUCAUAUUUUCAGUAUAAAAAGCCCAUUCAAUUUUUAGGGAAAAAGACACAACACAAUGGCACAAUUCCUAAGGUUCUUAUUAUAUACAACCCUAUAGCUAAUAAUGCACAUUUCAUUUCCAUUUCUAGGUUGAAUAAUUUUGAUGGGCAGAAGUGUUCUAAAGUAUGCUUUUAUAAACCUCAUAUCACAGUAAUCCAUUGUUGAAACAUGGCUUAAUGCAUGUUUUAGGAUGGGUGAAGGAAGGAGAGAAGGGAAAAAGAAAAGAUGAAGAAAGGAAGAAAAAAAGAAAAAAGAAGGUGAAGGAAAGAGAGAGGAAGAAAGAAAAUGAAAAUAUGAGCAUGUUAUGAAGAAAACUGAAAAUAUGUAAUUAUUUUUUCUUAAUUUUAGCAGGUGUAGAAACUCUUAAGGCUGAUGAUGAGAUAGCUAUUUUUGCCAUAAAUUACAUGAAUUAUAUUCAUUUUUACAUUCUUAUAAUACAGCAUUAGAAUAUGUUGUGUUAUACGUAGACUCCUUAGAAGAUACACAUAAAUAAAAGAAAAAAAUUAAAAGCUGCUUUCAACUUACUAUCAUUCAUGUCCAUCUCUGUGUGCAUGUAUUACACACACACACACAUCCCCACAGUAAGAACCCACUAAAUAUUGUUAAGUUCUGGGAAAAUAUGACCUUAAGUGAAAUGACGUACAAUAGGUCCUUGAAUAACAUAGUCAUUUAGAUAUAAUUAUAAUAUGGAAAAAAUGGAUUUUGUUAUGCAUCGUUUUGAUUAAAGUCACAGUUUCCAAGAACCUAUUGAUGACAUUGAGGAGUUUAUACACACACAAACAUACACAAACAUGCACACACAUACAACACACACACACACAAAUGUAGUUAUACACAAUAUACUGACUGCCUUAUAAGAAUUUUUUUUCUAUCUUGUAAUAAUACAUGAGUACCACAUUUUUCAAUGCAUUUAAUCAUGCUGUAUCUGAGAAUGUGACUUAAGUCCCAUAAUAGAGUAUAAAUGUUCAAUGUAUUAUUGUAGAUAGAUAAUAUGAAACUGUGUGUGGGAGUGGAGUGAGUAAUAAUUUAAGAAAAGGCUCUUCCUGAACCAGUUCAUCUAUGGGAGAUCAGAAUAUGGCACCCCAAAAUAGGAUGGUUUGGCAUAAGGAUUAUUGAGCUGAAGGCAAUUAAGAAGCAGAUGAAGAAAAGCUCUCUGCCUCUAUUUACCUAAAAGGAAGAUAUACAUUUACAAAGAUAAAAAAUAUCCCACCUCCCCUCUAAACCAGGGAGAACAAAUGUUAUCUACUGAAGAGAACAUUAGACUGUUAUGGGCCUGGAGAUGGCACCAGAGGAAUGUACGUUAACAAGCUUUACUUAGACUUUAUCUGCCUUUUCUUUGCCUUGCCUCAAGUUGCUGUCUUUAGAAAUUCAAAAUCCUUUUCCUUUGUCAUGUCACUUCCCUAAAAUUUACUGUUCUUUGUUGAACAACGCGUUAUACAGCUGAAAUUCAAACUCACCUCCUUGACAGCUACUCAUUCCCUUGCUGUCUUCCAUGUAUAUAUGAAAUACACAUGUCAAUAAACUUCUCUGGCGUUUCUCUUGUUAAUCUCUCUUUUGGUCCAUGGGUCCAUUCCAACUAAUACUUUACAAGAAUUGAGGAAAAAAAUAUUUUUCCUCUUCCAAAUAGCUAUUUAGUAUUUUCUGGCUGUCAGAGCAAGUGUAUUGACAGAGUACUCACAUUUCAUUCUCUUUCCAACACUCUUCUUUGGAUACACUUUAAUUAUAAUCCUUAAAAAUCAGUCUCUGUGUUAGAAGUUGACAUGAUAUAUGGAGGAAAAGGGCCACUUUUUAAUUCUGGAAGUUAAUGCAAUAAUAUAAAGUAGAAAAAUAGCAUAUCUUGAAACAUAUUUCAUGUCAAACACAGACAUAUCCUUCUAAAAUGCAGCAUCAGGAAAUAAGCAUAAUAACAGAGUUCAAACUAUGAUUUCGAAACAGAUAAUUUGACAACUCAAGUAUAUGGAUAUAAUAAGCCUUUAUUCUGAUUUUUUUUCCAAAUAGUCUGAUAGUGGAAAAUGUUCAAAGAAAAUUUGAAGGAGGAGGACUGUGUACUAUCUUAUUUUCC
rnacentral:lncRNA from 1 species